GAUGAACGCUAGCGAUAGGCUUAACACAUGCAAGUCGAGGGGCACCGAGGGUAGCAAUACCUGUCGGCGACCGGCGCACGGGUGAGUAACGCGUAUGUAACCUGCCCGCAACAGAGGGAUAACCCGGCGAAAGUCGGACUAAUACCUCAUAAAACAGGGGUUCCGCAUGGGGCUAUUUGUUAAAGAUUUAUUGGUUGCGGAUGGGCAUGCGUGCCAUUAGGUAGUUGGUGAGGUAACGGCUCACCAAGCCAUCGAUGGUUAGGGGUUCUGAGAGGAAGGUCCCCCACACUGGUACUGAGACACGGACCAGACUCCUACGGGAGGCAGCAGUGAGGAAUAUUGGUCAAUGGGCGAGAGCCUGAACCAGCCAAGUCGCGUGAAGGAUGACUGCCCUAUGGGUUGUAAACUUCUUUUACAGGGGAAUAAAAUGAGAUACGUGUAUUUUAUUGCAUGUACCUGGAU
rnacentral:rRNA from 1 species